GCUACCCCGGCUGGCUCUCCGAGUGCUAUCUCUACUUUAAGUAGAAGUACUUUUGCUUCUGCUUGAAGUAGAGGUAGCACUUGGGGAGCCGGCCGGGGUAGAGGGAUUUUUUUUAAUUUUUUUUUUCAAU
rnacentral:sRNA from 1 species